AUACUAUUGAAGAGUCCCAAACUAGGACGAAACAGCUGUCCAGUAC
rfam:Trichobilharzia regenti genome assembly, scaffold: TRE_scaffold0030599